rnacentral:rRNA from 1 species
UACAGAGGGUGCGAGCGUUGUUCGGAAUUAUUGGGCGUAAAGGGCGCGUAGGCGGUGCCACAAGUCACUUGUGAAAUCCCCGGGCUUAACCCGGACACUGCCUUUCAUACUGGAGACCUUGAGUGCGGGAGAGGCGAGUGGAAUGGUCGGUGUAGCGGUGAAAUGCGUAGAUAUCGAUCGGAACACCCAUGGCGAAGGCAG